rnacentral:rRNA from 1 species
UAAUACGUAAGUGGCGAGCGUUGUCCGGAAUUACUGGGUGUAAAGGGCGUGUAGGCGGGAAUACAAGUCAGAUGUGAAAUUCCAUGGCUUAACUAUGGGACUGCNACUGAGACUGUAUUUCUUGAGUACCGGAGAGGGAAGCGGAAUUCCNAGUGUAGCGGUGAAAAGCGUAGAUAUUUGGAGGAACACCAGUGGCGAAGGCGGCUUUCUGGACGGUAACUGACGCUGAGGCGCGAAAGCGUGGGGAGCAAACAGGAUUAGAUACCCUGGUAGUCCACGCUGUAAACGAUGGAUACUAAGUGUAGGGGGGUAUCGACCCCCCCUGUGCCAGAGUUAACACAAUAAGUAUCCCCCUGCGGAGUACGCCGCAAGGUUGAAACUCAAAGGAAUUGACGGGGGCCCGCCACCACCAGUGGAGUAUGUUGGUUUAAUUCCGAAGCAACGCGAAAAAACUUACCCAGGCUUGACAUNCCNUCGAAUAAUGNUANANAUACAUUAGUCCUUCGGGACGGGGAGACAGGUGGUGCAUGGUUGUCGUCAGCUCGUGUCGUGAGAUGUUGGGUUAAGUCCCGCAACGAGCGCAACCCUUGUUGUUAGUUGCCAGCACGUAAUGGUGGGCACUCUAACGAGACUGCCGGUGACAAAUCGGAGGAAGGUGGGGACGACGUCAAAUCAUCAUGCCCCUUAUGCCCUGGGCUACACACGUACUACAAUGGCUGGACACAACGGGAAGCGAAAGCGCAAGCUGGAGCAGAUCCCCAAAACCAGUCCCAGUUCAGAUCGUGGGCUGAAACCCGCCCGCGUGAAGUCGGAAUUGCUAGUAAUGGCAGGUCAGCAUACUGCCGUGAAUACGUUCCCGGGCCUUGUACACACCGCCCGUCACACCAUGAGAGUCUGCAACACACGAAGUCGGUAGUUUAACCGUAAGGAGAGCGCCGCCGAAGGUGGGGCAGAUGAUUGGGGUG